rnacentral:lncRNA from 1 species
UGCAGCUGUGGUCUGGAGUCCGAAACAAGAAGAGUCUCAUUUAUCAUCCUGCUAAAUAAACUUAAAUAUGUGUACCUAUAAUAUUUUACCAAAUGGGAUUGUAUUGUUUGACAACCUGCUUUUUCUUCCUUAACGUAAAGUGGCCCAUUGCACUAAAUGUGCUUUGAAAUGUUACUUGAAUACUUGUGAGAGGGAGACAAAGACGCUCUCCAGCAUCAGUGACAUGUGGGCUGCAUCCAAAAGGCUGAGUCACAGCCCUCCAGGGAGAGAAAAAGGGAGACCUUGUACUGAAAGAUGUGGAAGCAAGAAAGAACAUUCACUGUUGUGGGAAGCGGAAGGAGGGGAGGAGACAUCUGUCCAUCCUGUGAAAUUCAAGGCAGCGAAUGUGGAACACCCUUUCUGUCCUGCCAUACCCUGGGUGCUGGGAUACAACGACAAGAGAAGAACAAGCAUCAGAACAUGUGUGUGCAACCAAAGACCAUCGCAGCCCCAGACCAUCUGCGCAAGAAGAGCCUGGGCAAGUGCUGGUUGAAGAGGGACGUCUUGAAGGCACGUUUGCACAAAUCACUCUUAAUUGGAUGGCUUACAAAGAGCCACAUCAGCCAUGCUAGAGUUAAGUCAGGAGAUCUGCAGACUGGCAGAACAGGGGACUCUGGAAGAACCAGGCGUGAGCAGAGCAGUGUGGAGUCCUGACUGGUCAUUAAUCCAGCUUUGGUCAAGAGAGAACACUGCUCCCAGAGGGUUGUGGAACAGCGCGCGUAUGUCACACCAUGCAGGUAGCAGUUUAUCUGUCCUAAGUAAACAUCUGACAACAAGCAGUUUGAAGUAUUUGAAAAUGAGAUUCUCCAAAAUAAGUCCUUCAUUUGAAUAAGCUGAAACGACACCCACAUCUAGCCACCGGUUUUACACAAACCGCUCCUGAACAGCUGAUGCGGGCAUGUGCACACCUGUGAUCCUGCGCCCUGAUCUCUCACAUCGCCAGGGUUCUCACGUGUGUUAGAUGUUUGAGUGUUCAAGGUCCUGGCAGGACUCUCUGUAGAGUAGAGCUGCUCUUGCUUCUGUUUGGGGCAACACUGAUCCCUAUAAUCUUGACUCCUCCCUUCCCACCUCCUCCAGACCUUGUAUGAUCAAUUGCCCCUGGUGUCCUAAAUCCUCAACCAACCUCUUCUUCUCUUCCCUCCCCCUCAGUCCAUAACAAUGCCUAAAUAGAAACUAUCCCCUUCCUCUGAAUUCUCCCACCGCUUACCAUCUCAUCCCUCUCCUCUUCAUAUACAACUUAUUUGAAAGAGUAUACUAUUUUUGCUAUUUAUAUAGCCUCAUUUCCAUUAAAUCUUCACCUCACUACAGUUUAUCUCCCAUCUUGCAUGAAGCAACAGAAACUGACUAACAUAAGCAAAAAACAAAAAAGUAUUUAGUUUUUCGACGUAUGGCAGAGAUCCAUCCUCACCUCCUUGGAGAGCCUAGAAAGUUAAAAACAACAUCUCCCAGACUCUCUUGCAGCUAUGGUCUGUAUGCAAACCAGGUUCUGCCAAUCAAUACAGUCAUAAAAGUGUUGGAAGACAAAUAUGGACAGAGGUAUCGUCCUGUUGCUGCUUCUGCUAACAAGUAAGCUCAUGAACACAUGAAUGUCAAAAAGCAGGUGAGGGACAAUGAUGGCCAGACUCAGUGCUAGUCAAUACCUUAUGGGUGUCCAGAAAGUUUCAAUGGUGACAGAGGGGGUGGCUUCCUGAUCCCCACCCCUGAUCUCUGAACAGCAUCUAUGAUGAUGAGCUCUGAACUUCACAGUGUCAGUGGUUGUCUCCUGAUUUGUGCUACUCUAGCAUUUCCAACCAUUUUUACAGCACCCAUUUCCUAUAUAAAAUCCUUCAGGUUUAAAAUACCUAGGGUGUUUUCUCUCUCCUUUACUGAGCCCUGACCCAUAGAGUUUGUGAAACUGCAAGUGAUCUUAGACAACAGACUCUCAACAAUAAGGACUUGGGGGUGGUUACCUGAUUCGGUUGGAUUUGAAAGCAGAGGUGACUCAGUUCCCACUGAAAAAUGAGAGCUGACAGUCUGUGGCUCAGUUGCAAAUACAGUUACUUAAAUUAUCACAUUUUUCAAGGACUUAAAUUAAAUGCCUACCGGAGGCAAGCCUCCUGGUGGGUGAGUAUUGUAGGAAUGGGGCAGACAAGGACGGUGGGGCAGGCUGAAUGCUUCUGAAGCCCUGAAAAGCUUUUCUUCAAGCUAUAAACUCAGGUCUUUACAUUUCUUUAAAUUCUAAACUCUAGGCAAAAUUAAAGGAUUGGGGAGUUUCUAUAACUGCCAUCAAUCUCUAAUCUCUUAAAACCAAUGGGAUGACAUGUCCAAAAGCUAGAUGCCAAGGCUGACCAUGUGAUUUUUGAGUUAGAAAUUAAAUUGAAUUCACAGCCUCCCCAGGUCUUUCAUGGUCAAGAUAGACCUUGAUUAGAAAAGAAUGCAACCCUGAGAACUGAGAUGAGAACGUUUGGGUAAACUCAGAUGAGUACGAGUCCGUGGAGUCUGCAAGAUCCACUAGGCUCACUUGCCAGAAGCAGUAGUCCUCUCCCAUCUGAUAAAGCUGGCUCUGCCUUGGGUGGACGCCUUGCAAGGGCCUUCCCUGAGGUAUCCACCUUCAAGAGGAUGCCCUGAGCCUCAUGUUCCACCAUAGCAGUUUUCAUUGUCUGUAGACCGAAUUAAAAAAGUCAAAUUCCAUUAUGUCUCAGGGAGACAAGCAAAGAGAGUUUACUAUUUAAAGAUUUGUAACUCCCUGCUUAUUGCUAUCUGUAGGAGCCCAGGGAGUAUGUGUGAUAAUGGAUUCAGGUGGGGGAAGGGCUAGACCAAUGAGAAGUAAGUAUCAACAUGUGUGCAUUGACCAGCUGCCCUGGUGGUCUAGUGGUUAAGAUUUGGCACUCUCACUGCCACAGCCCAGGUCCCUGUCCCCAUCGUGGAACCACACUGUCAGUUGUCACACUGAGGCAGCUGCGUGUUGCUGCGAUGCUGAAAGCUCUGCCACUGGUAUUUCAAAUACCAGCAGGGUCACCCAUGGUAGACAGGUUUCAGCGGAGCUUCCAGACUAAGAGAGACUAGGAAGGAGGACCUAGUCACUCGCUUCUGGAAAAAUUGGCCACAAAAACUCUAUGAAUAGCAGCAGAACAUUGUUCUAAUACAGCACCAGAGGGUGAGAGGAUGGCUCAGAAAGAUGGGUAGGGUUCUGCUCUGCUGUCCACAGGGUCACUGACUGCAUGGCAUUUACUAGAGCUUUUUAAUUCAGUGAUCUAAUUCAAGAGAAGCCUUCUGCUUGCCAAUUGAUAACUGAAAACUACACCUACUCCAAGCGAGAUUGAAAUGAAGAGAUUCCUUGAUAUAAUACAGAGGGGAAAAAACAGAGACUCGGGAGAUAAUAAUGUUGAAAUGGGAUUAUUAUGUAUAGCCUGUUCAUUCACCAUCUGUGUUUGCCAAGAGGCCUCAAGAAUGCUCCCUUCACUAAGACACAAAGACAUACAUCUGAGGCCGAAGCACCAUUAUCCUCUAAAACACUGUCGCUUCUGCCCUGUGUAGGAGAUGCUGCUAGUGAAAUGGGCUUUCUGAGUUCAGUGAUGACAGGAAUCUGGAGCGGCAGAGGCCACACAGUCGCAAUCCCUGGUUACCACAUGAGCAGCAGGAAUACAGUGAUAAUCAGAAUGGUGUGACCUGUAAGAAUGAGAUUAUUUAUCACGGGAUUCCUAGGAGUGAAGCAGAUGGGCAGCCGAAAAGUAAAGAAGAAAAAAAUCUGGAGAAUGAGGGGCUGAUUUGAGUUGCCUCAGCGGAAAGUCAGAUUCCCAGAAACUUUGCAUGUGAGCCCACUGAACAAAGAAGCCAGGUACCCAGGAGGAGGGCCCCGUGGCACUGUCCCAAGUGUGAACUGUAAGCUUCCUCUUUGUCUCCUUAAGGAAACUAAGGCCAUUUGCCAAAGUAAUGUGCACUGAGAAAACUUUACCCAGACUUUUGGGAUAUCCCUGGACACUGGUUCUUAGCUAGUAUUAAUCCUUAGGGACACAAAAGAUAUCUGAGAUCCACUACUACGAGUAAGAACUUAGGAGGAUUGAGUGACACAUGCUGUUUGGCCGGAACCCAUCUUGCAAAUAGGCCAAGAAAGUCCAUGAACCCAUUCUGUGGUUAUUUUCCCUUUCCAGAAGACAAAGUUGUAAUGACACUUGGCAAGCGGUGGGUUACUUUAUCAUGAAAGGAAGAGACAAGUGAAGUGAAGCAAACAGUGAAUCAAAAACAAUAUCACGCACGUCCCUGAGGGAAUUGCAUAUUAAUAUCACCAUCAAAGACUUGAGAGGGGACGAUAGUGGCAGCAUAAUUUUGGGUCUCAUCAAAUCCCCACACGAAAAUACACAUAAAAACUGACUUAAGAACAAAUAUGACCAAUAUUUCCAACAGAACUAGAUGGUAAGUUAUCCCCACAAACCCCGUAAUACCAGUGAGCGGGGAAGAACCCCAGCAGGAACGAGAGCUGCACGUCAUCUGUGUCUGUGCUGGAGAAAUCAGGGAAGACAGCAACGCAACUGCUGAACUGAAAAUCCCUCCAGAAGGCAACACACCCUGACCAACAGUGCAGCAGGCCAUCGGAGAAAACAGCGGAAACUCCACAAGUGCGUGAGUGUCGGGGCGAGGGGUAAGGCCUAACGGGCUGGAGCCGUCCAACCCCGCUGAACUCUUAAGACAGACCCGGCCAGGCUCCCUCCCAUGGCAGAACCCCACAGGAGAAACUGUGGGGAUAGAAAUAAACUUGAGCAGGACAGGAGCCACAGAGCAAAUGGAAAAGAAGUUCUCGAUCAAAGUGUGGGAGGGCCUAGAGCCAGAAAUCAGAAAACAAGCCGCCGUGUCCCUUAACAUUAUAUGAAAAUGACACAAGAGGCAGCUCUGAAAAGUUAGGAAAUCUGUCUGAAAUAAGCUCCUUUUAAAAGUUCAAGAAAACCAAAUUCACAUUAAAAUGAGCAGCAAACACAAAGUGUCAAGAUCAAAUCCCACAAAAGUUUACUAUUUAAAAAACAGGAAAAGGAGCAGUGGCAUCUCUCUACAGACAAUGAAGCAUGCCAGAAGGACACUCAGAGACAGACCAGACUGUAACACACUGUCUCAAAUGAUCUGGAGGAUAAUAUGAUAGACAGAAAAAUAGCAUAAAUCAGGAUGGGGAAAACUCAGGAGUGAGGUGACAGAACUCAAGGAAGAAUUACCAAUACAAGGAAAAAAAUUUUCUUAAUGAAGAUUACUAUAGGAGAAAGAUAGCAAAUAAAUACAAGUAAUGCCUUAAAAAUGAGGGUAAAAAUAAGGAAAAAAAUUUAAUUCAAAAAGAAAUGAGAAACAAUAAAAAAGUGACAAAUAUUGAAGAUAGGCAAAGAAAAUCCAGCGUAUAGAUAAUAGCAGUCUCUGAAGAAACCCAAAGCAGAUGGACAGACCAAAUACUAAAAUCUUUCCAGAAACAAAAAAAUAAAAGUAUUCAAAAUUACGUAUUGAAAGAGCAUAUUGUGUGUCUGAGAAAAGAUAUCUAAACUGGUUCUGCCAUUUGCAAAGUUAUUGUCUCUCUUUGAUGAUAAAUUAUCUCUGUUCUCAUUAUUGUCUCCUGACUGGACACUGAUACAGGAAUUGGUACCAAGUGGUCCCAGGAAACCUCAGAGACCUCAAAGACUGGAUUUGAGAACUGACUUGGUCAUGUCCUUGGUCUAGAGCAAAGAGUUGAACUCUCUGCCAGUGGACAAUGGGAAGCUAGGUAGUCCAUGGCAUGCAGUGGCAUUCACGAUUAAUGAAAUUAUCAUCUGGGGUUGAUUACGAUGAAGCAUCUACAGACGCACCAAGACAUAUCCUAGUAAGAUUACUGAGGUUUAAGAGAAAAAAAAAAAACUUUCAGGCAUCUAUGCAAAAAGCACCCAUGACUUAUAAGGAAAAAAUUACGUUAUCAUCAGAUUUUUCAACAACAGCAUUUCUUAUGCUAGAAGAAAAUGGAGUAACAUACCUAAGAAGCUCAAAGGAAGAAAAUGUGAACCAAGAAUUUUAUAUACAACAAAACUGACCUACAAGUAUACAAGGUGCAGACAAACUGUUAUCAACACGCGGGAACUCAAGCAAUACUGUUCCCAUGAGCCCUUCCGAAGAAAUCGACUAGAGCUGCGCUGACCAGUAUGGUAGCCACUAGCCAUAUGUGGUUGUUUAAAUUUUAAUUUUAAUGAAUUAAAUGAAGUAAAAUUAAAAAUUCAGUUCUUCAAUCAAACUAGCUACAUCUGACAUGCUCAAGAACUCAAUGUGCUAGUGGCUAUCACAUCGGAUAGUACAAAUAUAGAAUACUUUCUAUCAUCAUAGAAGAUUUUGUGGGAUAGCAUUGUCUUAGCCAAUGAGCUUCAGACAAUCCCAAUGACUGGAAAUCUCUGACAUAAAGACUGGGGAUGGGUAUUAAAUAUAUACUUAAUUGAAUAACUGAGGACAAAUGAGGACUAAAACGAAGAGAUUGUAGCAACAGCUGCAUAAUUUGACAAUCAAGAUAGAGUAAAACCAUUAAAAAUGGGGGAGAUGGAAAUAGCAUAUGUAAAAGAAAGGUAUUUUUAAAUUAUAUUUUCAGUAGUCAUAACUGAUGGUGUAGCAUUAGGAUUGCUAUUCUGAGGCUAUCGUAUGUGUAUGUGGGACAAAGCAAAUGAGUAACUAUGUAAUAUUCCGACUCCAUCACGUCUUGAGAGCCAGGAAUCUCAGUGUGGAAGAAAGGAGAUCCGGAUGUGUUACAGAGGAGGUUAAGUAAAAAAGCCUAUAGCCUGAAUUUAAAUUGGAAAUAUCUGUUUGAACUAGAAUCCAUGACAGACCCAGUAGGACCGAGCAUCCCUGGAGCCCAGAUUGUGGUUUGGAAUGCUGUUUCUCAUGAAAAGAAACCAGGGAUUUGGGGAGAAAUGGCUGGUUCCAGGUCUGGGGCAGGAUACGUACAAGAUGCGCCUGGAACAUCUUGACACACCGGGUAGCAAGGAAGCCAUCAAAGGUCACUGGUGUCACGUCAAAAAGAUUCAGGAGCCAACCUGGAGAGGGUCCUAUGAGCCAAAGAUGGGACAAUUUCAGCUUCUACCAAAACUGUAAUAAAUGGGAACUCGUCAAAUAUGUUUAAACCCAUAAGUUUAUAACAAUAUUAAAAGAAAAGGCAACCAAUUGGUCACUUUCUGAGGACCCAAUCCACUUCCUCGAGAACUAACUGAACUACAGAAUCAAGCAUUUGUCUUGCCUAUUCUAUAGGAACUGGCUAACCAUAACAGACAAGGGGAAGUGCCCCUUUAUAAAGUUACCCCAGCUAAUAUGGAAACAAAAUGAUGGCAUAUCACCAUGUGAAACCUCCAGUAAGUAAACGUGUCUAGACCUCGAACAUCACCAGCUGUUAAAAUCACAGAAAGAGUGGAAAUCAGACGGAUCGUGUCUUCUAAUGAAAGAACACAACGUCACCUAUAGUAUCGUCAAAGGAGCUGACCCUGAGUCCAAUCAGGCCUCUGGAUCCAGCUUCCAAUCCUCAAGGAACACAAGGGAAAGGGGCACCUUGAAACGCUCCGUGAGUAUGCAACCAAAAAAAUCCAGACUUCAGGAAACUCGACAGUUCAAACAGGCUGAGAUAAAUUAUAAGGAUAAAAGGGGGCAUGGGAAGCUUAGAUUAAAAGCAACUGGAAAACAUACACUUUAAAACGGGCCUGAUUAAACCGGAAUAUUUAAGGAUGCACACUUGGGUGAAAAAAGCAUAAAAAGUCAAGGCAGUGAUCACUAUAUAGCAGUCAGGAUAGCUGUUACUUUCGAAGGAGGAGAGGGUUGUGAUUGGCACAAGGCACAUGUAGAGGCUUCUGGGGCGACUGGCAAAGUUCUAUUUCUUGAGUCGUGUGUUGGUCAAGGAUGUUUACCUUAAAGUAAUUCACCAAGCUGUUAAAAAAAUAAAGUUUGAAAGAUGCUGGGGCGGUGAUUUCUAUCAUAGCCCCAUUUAAUUCAUCACUAUGGCCAUUGCAGAAGACAUAUGGGUUUUGGAGAAUGACAAUGGGUUCCCUUAAACUUAGUCACAGGCCAACACUUCAAUUGCAAUUGCUUUUUUUAAAUAUGUUCUCUUUACUCCAGCAAAUCAACAGAGACCCCAGCACGUGGUAUGCUGUUAUCCAUCUGAUAAAUGUUUUGUUCUCUCUCCCGAUAAGCAGAUAAUACCAGAAGAUUUUGCUUUCAUCUGGUGGGAAAGCAGCUCACCUGUGCUGUUUUCCCUCAGGGCUACAGCAGCUCUGGCUCUCUGUCAAAAUUUAGUCAACAAGACAUUGAUCGCCUCACCAUCCCACAGGACAUCGUGGAAGUUUAGUACCUUGAUGACGUCGUUUUCUUAAGACGUAGUAAAUAAGAAGCAGCCGCCAUAAUCCUAGACUUCUUGAUAUUGUGCAUGAAAGGGUGUGAGAUAAACCGCACAAAAAUUCAGGGCUCCGCCGACUGAGUACAGAGAGGCUUAGAAGGCCUUUCAGGGUUUUGGAGGCAACUCAUACCACAUUUGCAUAAACUACUGGACUUGUUUACCAAUAACACCGAAGGAGUAUCCACUUUGAUUACAUCCCAGAGCAAGUGACGAUUCUCCAGCUGGUCCAAGAUGCAGAGCAAGCAACCUGGUCAUUCGAUCUAGCAGAAUCGUGGUGCUCAAAGCGUGUAUGACUGAGGAGGAUAUUGGACAGACAGCUCCAGUAGCAGAAUCAGAAUACAAGCCUCUAGGGUUUGGAGCAAAGCCAUGCACUCUCCCACAAAUACGUAAUCUCUUUUUGAGAAACAGUUCCUGGCUGGUAGAGACUGAAUGCUUGGCCAUGAGAUACCAAGGGACCACGUGACCUGAGCUGUCCCUUAUCAGUUGUGUAUUAUCUAACCCACAAAGCCAAAAAAUUGGGCACGCCCAGCAACACUCCAAAAUCAAGCGGAAGUGUUAAAUAGGAGACCGUGCUCAAGCAGGUGGUAACGGCCGUGGUGAGCCACAUGGGCAGGCCAUGCUCGCUCCCAAUGCACUGACCCCAGAAGUACCGCCACCUCGUCUUCAGCUCAUCCUAAUAGCUUUGCUGGGGAGUUGCAGAUGAAAAGUGACUUGAGGAAGCAGAAAGAUCUGCAGAAGUAUGCACCAACUGAAAGUGGACCGCGGGAGCAUGUGCCCUACUUAGGAGUGACCCAGAAGGACAGUGAGGAAGGGUAAUUCUUUCAGAGGCAGAACCUCAAGCAGUACAUGUGGUUGUCCCCUUUGCCUGGAAGGAAACACAAGAGCUACAGAUCUGUAGUAAUUUGUGAAUAGUGCUGAAUGGCUUAGCUAGAGAGUCCUAGGCUUGUGAGGAAAAAGAUGGGAGGGUUGGUAACCAGGAUGAACGGGAAAGAGUUGUAAGGAUGGACCUCAUAGAGUGGCCCAGGGUGAGAAUAUUUGUGUCCUGUGUGAAUGCUCAUCAGACAGCACCCACUGCAGAGGAGCCUGCCCAUAACAGUGGGAAGGGUGAUCUGGCCUGUGAGCGUCAGUCAGCAUCUCUCCUCGCAAGGCCCGAGCUUGCUCAGUGUGUUCAUGGAUACGGUGUAGUGGCCAUAGCAGCAAAGAUGGCUGUUGGGUCCGGUUCAACAACAGAAAGAUUUUUCUCCUCGUCAUGUUGGAUCUGGAUGGCAUUGCUGCUGGGUGCUCACCCUUCAACAACAGAAACCCAAGCUUAGCCCCUAUGACACCAUACCCUGGGGAGAUCAGAUAGCCACCUGGAGGCAGAUUAAUUGGACCACUUCCAUAAUGGAGGGGGCAGCAAUUUGUCCUCACUGGGACAGAAAUUUGUCCCCGCUUGCAGGAAGGUGUCAUCCCCUCAGCUCCCCUAAGAGGAAUAAUCAGAUAGUGACGUACAGGGGAGAGACUAGAGAUGGGGAGAUCGAGUACAAAGUACCACAGAAACCAGAAGCUCCUCAGUCAGGUUACACCCUCCGUGUGCUCCCACAACCCCUGUAGUGACUGUGCUGCAGGACUUCUCAGGCUCUGUUAUAAUAAAACCCCACAGGAGCAGCCCAGGGUCUGUGCCGCCCCAUCUAAUCUCCAGAACGGAGCCCCGUGCCUGGGACAUCGUACAGCUCAGUAGAUACGUGUCAAAUGUUUGUUGAAUGUCUUCUACAUUUUAGUAUUUAUCAUAAUCCUUUAAAAAUAUUUUGGUCAAGGUAGAUGCUUAACAAACAUUUAUUAAGUGAAAAAAAUUAUGAUCAACUAGAUUAGAAGUCAGCAAACUACAGCCUGUGGGCCACAUCUCACUGGCCACCUGAUCUUGUGUGGCCCAUGAACGAAGAAUGGUUUUUACAUUCUUAAAAAUGUAAGAAAAGAAUAAUAUUUCAUGACACUGAAAAAUGCAAUAAAUCCAAAUUUCAGUGUCUAUAAAUAAAGUUUUAUUGGGACACAGCUCCAUUUACACGUUGCCUGCAGUGUUUUGCUUGACAACAGCAGAGUUGAGUAGUUGUGACAGAGAAUGCGUGGCUUGCAAAGCUAAGAAUAUUUACUCUCUGGCCCCUGCAGAAAAAGUGUGCCGAUCCCUGGAGCAGGUCUUCCAAAGCACAGAAGACAACGAUCUUUAAGACAAGAGCGCUGCCUCCUUCCUUUGCAGACCACCACCUCAUCACUUCAAUUUCCUCUAAAGAAAACAAACUGUUUUUCUCAUAUUUCAUGGCUUUGAGGUUUAUUCCAAGCCUUGCCAGUGGCCUCAGGCUCCUCGUUGCCUUAUUUGAAACAAGAGAUAUAGAGCAGCCGAGACAGAUGACGAUGUGGAGAGGGAAGGAGGCGAGACGGGGCCCACGCUCAGACUCCCUAAAUCCACGAGGGAAACUUCCUUCUGUUGGCACCAGUUCAAAACGAUGCGAUGUGGCCUUUUCUAAAGCUUCGCACUAUUUUUAUUGCAGUAAAAUGUUUAUUGUGUUUACAGAGAGAAUUGUUGUCUUAAAACUGAUGUUUACUAUGGUAGGGUUUGACCUGUGCUUGGUGAAGCUAUGUUUUAAAAUAAUACACUCAAGUUUAUGAAGGAAACCUCAACUCUUCCCAAAGAGAGAAACUGAAGGGUUUUUUUGCUGAAAUAAGUAUUUCAUUAGGUUAGAAAAAUUGAUAUAUUUUUGUUAUUUAAUGACUUCAUCACGCUCUGUGAAAUGCAUCACUCCAUUUUAUCUGCUCUUUGUCUGGAAUCACCACAUGCUACUAACUGGCUCCUCUUUAUUCUUUGCUACACUACAGAAAUUCUUUAUCAUUUAACUUUAUCACAGGCAGGCAGAGCCUGGUUCCUAUUAGAGAGAUAAGGACUGUUUCCUUAAUUACUGUACAUAGAAAACAGCAUUUAGUCUGGCAGUUCCCACACUAUUCAAUCAGGCAAGAUUCGAUAUGAAAAAAUACAGCUGAUUUGCCAAAUCAGACAUUUGUUCCACACAAGUCCGUUAUAACUCACGUUAUAAAUGAAACAAGUCAUGGAGGCACUUAUCAGUACUUAUCAGUACGCGCCUGCGAUCACAUUCUGUUUUUCGAAGUUGACGCUCUCAGGAGCGCUUCUUGCUGGAAGUUCUCUCUGACAAUUAUGGAGGGAUCCCCACGCCGGCGUCCACCUGACCGAAGAGAACAAGACAGCCGCGUGGGCCAUUUCAGAAAUCACCACUUUCUAGCUAAUCGCAGUUUCCAAAUUCAACCUACUGGUGCUGCCGAGAGCGAGAAGAACUUCCCUAAUCGGAUCCUGGCCGCAUUGUGACUCACACUGCUGACUGCCCCCCACCCCCCACCCGGUGCCUCCACUCUCCCUCGUGGGGCCGGCACAGCACCUGCCCAAGGACCUCUCCCUGCGUCCUGGGGAUGUGUUGGCAGCACCGUGAUCGAUGAGUUAUUGAGGCCCUUGCUUUUUACCAAAAGAACUUUUUGUGGAAGGCAAAAUUUUUUCCAGGGGAGAAAUGCAGAUGCAGCAUUAUGCAAUUUUGUUAACGAGUUAGGAGGAUGGUGUAAUGCAAAUGGUGGAUAAAACGAGCAAACCGGGGAAAGAGAGCAAGCCGACGACUGGAAUUAAGGUAAAUAGACGCCAAUUCUCGUGGCCUCCAAGCUCCUUCUGAGGAAAGUGCCAGGGCUACUGAGUGCUUUCCAGAAGUUAAAAUGGCAGUCACCCAAUUGUUCUGCCCUUUACUGAGAUGACUAGAAGGAAAUACUUCUAAUCCAACCCAGAAUGUGACUUCUAAAGAAAAAUUGUGUACUGUACAUAUGCCCGUGAUGGCCACAAAGCAUAAAAAUAUUCUGUUUUAUUUUUUACCCUUUCUGAACUGUGAAGACAAUUUUUUGAUCUCUCUCCCCACACCUCCAACAACCCUGCUCCUCUCUGGAUCCUUGUAAUCUCGCCUACGGUAGAGACCUGGGUUCUCACCAAGGCCAUUUCCACACCCGAGAAGACUUACACCUUACAGGCACUUCUCUGUAAUGAGAUGCACAUCCUCUUGAUUCAAGUGCUUUAAGGUAUCUUGGGACUUAAUUUAUAAAUCUCAUACACUCGGUGGUUUAGUAAAUGGUGGUCCAUCUUUGGUCCCAAGAAGCAGGAGAAAGGACACAUGAAAAAUACAGACAAAAGGUCUAAUGGAAAUAGGAAAAAAUUAUUAUUUGUUAACUCCGAGUGGUAGGUACAAGGAUGUCUGAUGUUUCGUCUGCUUUUCUAUAUUUGGAAUGCUUCAUAGUUUUAAAAAUUGUUUUUCUAACAAAGAAAAAAGCUAAAGAAGUUACAGGGGUUGCUCAAAUUCUAAAUGAAGAAAUGAGAAGGACGAGGGAAACCUGCACAGUGUUUUUCUCUUGCAGGGGUAGUAAGUCGAAGAAAGCUCCGAACCGCUGGUGCACUGGAGGGACAGUGAUCAAGGGGACCCUGGGAGCAGUAUUCCUACUCCACUGAAGGGGGGAGCUGAGAUACUUGUAAGCUCUAGAGAACCUCUAACACAGGAAGCUAUUUAUCAUAACAAGCCUGGUUGAUACCGCUCCCAUACUGAACCAAUUAGGUUCGCCCGUUUCGUCAUACUUCAUAACUCGCGGUGAUAGGUCUCUGAGUAUGGUACAGUGUAGUAAUUGAAUUUUGAUCAAACACACAUGGCCCAUAACCCAGUAUGUGAAAUUUUCAGAACAGUUCACAGCUUUUAAAUAUCCAGUCAACAUGUUGCCAAAAGUACAGGAUGUACUUGAUGGAAGGGGGAGAGCGAGGGGAGGGCUGAAUCUUGGUAGAGCUGUAAAACAAAUAUUUUUGUUCUUGUUCUCUUCUUAUUUUUCAAAUAGCAGUGGAGAAAGGCCAUGGGAUAUCGUGUCAUAACUCAAGUCUUCCCCUUGCUUGCCCUACGUGCGUAAACAUCUUUGAGUCUCAUUUCAGAUUACCAUUUAUUUUUUGGCAGGAAACUAUUUUCAUGCCACAGGCCUGUUACACAUGACCUGCUAGUAUUUCUCACUGCAGCACCACCCAAAGAGGAUUUCCCAACAACCCACUACAUGCCAGGCACCAGAUAAAUAGGCAAACUCUUUCGAACAAAGACACAUCAUCCUUGCCUCCAUGUGGUCAUCAAUUUUUUUACAUUGCAACCUGUGAUAAUCAACAUGAAGGAAAAAUAGGGCAUUAGGAGGGACAGUAACGGGGAUCUGAUUUAUCCAGGAGAGAUGGAGUGGAGAGGAGAAGCAGGGAACACGUCUCCAAGGAAGUACCAUUGAAAUUGACUUCUGAAAGAUGAGAAGUGGUCCAAGAGAGUGAACUGAGCAUUCCCAGGAGAAGUGGCACGUGGAUAAGCCUUGAAGUAGGCAAGACUUUGUCAAGUUCAAGGACCUGAAGGCUGGGACACACAGUGAGAGAAAAGGCUAAAAAGAUAGUUGGGAGCCAGACUACAUGAGGCCGUGUAAAGAAUUCUGCUAAGUGCAGCCAUUGAAAGGCAGGAGGCCAGGGAGUGACAUGAUGGGAGGCAGGCAAGACAAGAAGCAGAAAGACUAACUAGAAGGGCUUGGCAAUUGUCCAGGUGGGAAGAGAUAGCGGCUUGGAACAGGGCAAUGGCAGAGGAGAAUGGUGGACAAAUCUGAGAGUCGUUUUGGAGAAGUGACAUGACUUUGUGAUAACUGGACAUGAAAGUGACAGAGAGGGGGGUUCCAAGGACAUUUCUGGGUUUCUAGCUUGAGCAACUUAGUGAAUAAAGUCUAAUAAAUAACAACCUAUCAAUAUAACUCUUAAGGCUACACCAAGCAAUAGGAGAACCACAUCUCUCUCCAGCCCCGUGUUUGCAACGAGGCGCUGCUCUCACCGGAUUUUGUGGGGACAGAUGCAUUGAUCAGUGCCGGGGGAACAGAAAUUUCCCACCUACAUGCGCAUCAAAGCUUCCUUACAUAAGCAGAAGAACGUCUCUGAGCUACGAAAAUCAGAUUUUCACAUAAACUUUAAAUUUUUACCCUCAGUUCUACAGACAUGGCCAUAGAUGCCAGGCAGCUGAACUAUGAGAACCUAAAAGAAAACCAAUUGUCCCUUUGAAAACGUUCAAAACCCAGGCAUGUUUCCUUAUUCAUUCAAUAGAUUUCUCCCGAGUGUUUUUAGUGUGGGGGGAAUGGGGUGAGUAAGAUGUGCCCCCUGUGUUGGCAAAGCGUAUAUUCUAUAGAGAGAAAGAGACAUAAAAGCUAUGCCUAACACAGCGUGGUGUGUUACACAGAUCCAGCAGUAGAGGUGUACUUAACAGAUGACAGGGUUAUUAACUCUGCAGAGGGAGUGGCCCAAGGGCACGGCAACGAAAGACUUCAGAGAGGUUGCAUUUGGGACCAGUCUUGAAAGACAAACAAGAGUUUGUGAAGCAGAGAAGAGGAUGGGGAGAAACUCCAAGAGGAGGAAACAGCACGAGCCCAGGUGUGAGGGUGCUAAGGAGGGCCGGCUGCUCGGGGCCAGAGCCCUCAGGGAGAGGCCGUGGGGGUCUGAUUCCAGACCGGAAGAGCCAUCCUUCCAUUCCAAAGGCUGAAAACCAGUCCAGUCUGAUGUAUCCACUAUUGCCUGACCCAGGUGGAGAAUUCUAAUUCGUGUAGGCCCAACCCAACAAAGACUUCUUAAUGUGACUACUGCCUGAAGACUGCCCGUGUCCAUGACAGCUUUGGGUUUACCCAUUGAGAUGGGCAGUCCUCUCUCCCACAGUCAGUCCCACAACUUGGCCAAGGCUACAGGACCCAGCUUUCUAAAGUGCCUAGAAAGACGUAGCAGUGGCCCAAGGUGACGCUCCUGUGGCUGGAGAAUGUGGACACUGGAAUGACUGUGACAUUCAGUCCGGCAAGUGGUACAGCUGCCCUUGUACAGCAAACCGUCAGACACAGUGAGUGACCACCAUCCCCAGAAAAAGUGUGUGUGCAUGUGCGAUCUUUAAAUUUUAACAGCUAUUCCGACAGUCCUCAGAGAGAGAAUUGGCAGCUUGGGCCUGGAGAAUGCUCCCCACCUGUCUCCAGGCCCCGCAAACACAGCUGUGUAAGAAGACAGUCAAAGCUUCCAAGGAAAGAAAUGGUGCUGUUUGCAGGGGCGGAGGACGGGGGAGAAACUAGGGGAGGGCCCUUCUUGCAAACCGCUGAGGCAGGGCCCGUCCAGCAACUGCGAAAAUUAGCAAGGAGGACGUGGUCAGGCUUUCUGUUUUUAACUUCACGUUAAGUAAAAUCAUUCAAGACCCAGCUCAACGACCACAUUAACACCAGUCUUAAACGGAUGAGACAGAGCACAUGGUUCAGGCCAAGGGGAGCACAGGGCCACCUGCGUUUCUAGAGGCACCCAUCCGGGUUUUCCCCUGCGUCCGUAUGAACCGUCACAGGACGCACGGUCCCUCACACAGAACUUCCUGGGAAAGUGCCCAGAAACCCCUUUAUCUGUGUUUCUCCAGGCAUUUUUAAAGUUCAGCUCUUUGGGGAAGUCGGCAGACGCAGAUUUCCACGACGCCGAUUCCAUGGCAGGCUUCCAGAGCGGCCAGGGGUUUGCUGCCCCCCCAGGAAGGGAGAUGCGAAGACGGAAAGAAUCAGCUCAUUGCCGAGGAGGAAAACCGAAGCAGGGGGGUAUUUUCAGUAUCAUUUUAAUCACAAAAUAGCACGAACGUAGUCUGUGCCUGCGUGCCACCCGAGUGUCGAUUUGAAUACCACUGCACGCUGGUUUGAAAAUUUCCAUUUUUGUAAUUUGCUUUCCUUUGUUAAGCCAAGACUGGAGAGAAACCUGGCAGCCGUCUCCAAGUCUGGCACGAUUUCGCCUCAGACGCACUCGGUUGGUUGGAUGCUGAAGGAGCCUGCCUGAGAGAAGGGGAGAGAGCGAAGGGGCGAGAAGGAUGGGGAGAGAGGGAG